rnacentral:rRNA from 1 species
UACGGAGGGUCCGAGCGUUAAUCGGAAUAACUGGGCGUAAAGGGCACGCAGGCGGUCUUUUAAGUGAGAUGUGAAAUCCCCGGGCUUAACCUGGGAAUAGCAUUUCAGACUGGGAGACUAGAGUACUUUAGGGAGGGGUAGAAUUCCAGGUGUAGCGGUGAAAUGCGUAGAGAUGUAGAGGAAUACCGAAGGCGAAGGCAGUCCCGUGGGAAGGUACUGACGCUCAUGUGCGAAAGCGUGGGGAGCAAACAGG